rnacentral:rRNA from 1 species
UACACUCCUGCGGGAGGCAGCAGUGGGGAAUAUUGGACAAUGGGCGCAAGCCUGAUCCAGCCAUGCCGCGUGAGUGAUGAAGGCCCUAGGGUUGUAAAGCUCUUUCACCGGUGAAGAUAAUGACGGUAACCGGAGAAGAAGCCCCGGCUAACUUCGUGCCAGCAGCCGCGGUAAUACGAAGGGGGCUAGCGUUGUUCGGAUUUACUGGGCGUAAAGCGCACGUAGGCGGACUAUUAAGUCAGGGGUGAAAUCCCGGGGCUCAACCCCGGAACUGCCUUUGAUACUGGUAGUCUUGAGUUCGAGAGAGGUGAGUGGAAUUCCGAGUGUAGAGGUGAAAUUCGUAGAUAUUCGGAGGAACACCAGUGGCGAAGGCGGCUCACUGGCUCGAUACUGACGCUGAGGUGCGAAAGCGUGGGGAGCAAACAGGAUUAGAAACCCUGGUAGUCCCAUG